AACGACGACUUCUGAUUCCAGACAGCAGCUUCCUGGGUGGCACUGAACUUUUCCCUCGAUUCAAGGAACUAGAAAGAAGGCUUCGCUCUGGGGCCAUGGAUUGCGUGGGGGUUGUCAGGACCGGCUCAUGUUUAUUGCAGGGGAACACGUUGUGAGUGACUGGCUCUGUGACGACCCUGGGAGUGUGAUGGCAGAGAGGCUUUUUGGUUGCAGAUGCAGAUGUUUUACCACCUCAACGCAGCCAUGUGCACAACAGGCCGGAGGCUCCACUCUGCCUGACCCAGUUGCUGGGAACUGGGGCUUCCAGCGCUGCAGUCCCCGCCGUAAGAAACCCCCCUGCCUUCCCCCCAUUCCUCCGCCUAAUGAGGAACAGAGGAGAGGAUAUCAGGCCCUCAAUCAGCGCUAGACCCCUUCACAUGUGUUUCAAUGAAUCUCCGGUCAUGGGCCGAGCCACUUUCGAAUCGCGCCGGCGAAUCCUUAUCAGUGCCCCUCGGAGGACGCCGUCAACGGCUACCGCACGAGCAGUCGCUGACAGGCAACGCCUCGGC
ensembl:lncRNA